GGCCGGUUAGCUCAGUUGGUUAGAGCGUCGUGCUAAUAACGCGAAUGUCGCGGGUUCGAUCCCCGUAACUGGCCA
rnacentral:tRNA from 1 species